AGCGGCAACAGCUCAAAUUUGAAAUCUGGCCUCGGCCCGAGUUGUAAUUUGCAGAGGAAGCUUUGGGUGCGGUACCGACUGAGUCCCCUGGAACGGGGCGCCACAGAGGGUGAGAGCCCCGUAUAGUCGGACGCCAAACCUGUGUAAAGCUCCUUCGACGAGUCGAGUAGUUUGGGAAUGCUGCUCAAAAUGGGAGGUAAAUUUCUUCUAAAGCUAAAUACCGGCCAGAGACCGAUAGCGCACAAGUAGAGUGAUCGAAAGAUGAAAAGCACUUUGAAAAGAGGGUUAAAUAGCACGUGAAAUUGUUGAAAGGGAAGCGCUUGUGACCAGACUUGCGCCCGGCAGAUCAUCCGGUGUUCUCACCGGUGCACUCUGUCGGGCUCAGGCCAGCAUCGGUUCUUGCGGGGGGAUAAAAGCCUUGGGAACGUAGCUCCUCCGGGAGUGUUAUAGCCCUCGGUGCAAUGCCCCCGCGGGGACCGAGGACCGCGCUUCGGCAAGGAUGCUGGCGUAAUGGUCAUCAGCGA
rnacentral:rRNA from 1 species